CUCUCUCUUCUCCACCCCAUUUUCGACCACCUCUCUCCCUCACUCCUCCAAUUCGGCACUCUCUCUCUCUCUCCUUCAUCUCUCAUCCUUCCUCCAUUAACAUCCAUGGUAGAACCUCCGAAGCUUCCAAAAAUUAUACAAAACACAUCAAUCCACUCCAAAAUCUUGCCUAAACACCUUCAAUCUCCUUGGAUUGAAGAAGAUCAUUGAAGAUUGCUUCCAAGGCUAGAGAGAGAAAGUUUGAUUGUUGGUGUAAAGUUUGGACACGAGCAGAGCAAGGAAGUAAGUAACUCCGCUUUGACGGGAGAUUUUGAGUAAGGUCUUCAGACUAAGCGAGAAGCGAGAUUGGUCUGGUGCUGGUGGGGAAUUGUUGGAGGAUGUAUUUACUUUAUCGUAUUUCCAUUUUGACGAUAAAGUCUUGAUGAUUGAUAUACUUUGAUUUUCUUUAGAAUUUAAGCAAUGUACUCACGGUUAUAUGUCUUCAUACAUAUAAUCGAUUCGCCUUUUGCUGCGAUACUCUGCAUAUUAUGAUUCCUUACGAAAAAUGAGUGAUACCCGUUUUGUUUU